rnacentral:rRNA from 1 species
AUUGAACGCUGGCGGCAGGCCUAACACAUGCAAGUCGAGCGGAGCGGCGGACGGGUGAGUGAUACCUAGGAAUCUGCCUGGUAGGGGGGGAUAACGUCCGGUAACGGGCGCUAAUACCGCAUACUCUCAGAUGAGCCUAGGGCGGAUUCGCUAGUUGGUGGGGGAAAGGCCUAGAAAGGCGACGGUCCGUAACUGGUCUGAGAGGAUGAUCAGUCACACUGGAACUGAGACACGGUCCAGACUCCUACGGGAGGCAGCAGUGGGGAAUAUUGGACAAUGGGCGAAAGCCUGAUCCAGCCAUGCCGCGUGUGUGAAGAAGGUCUUCGGAUUGUAAAGCACUUUAAGUUGGGAGGCGUUACCAACAGAAUAAGCACCGGCUAACUUCGUGCCAGCAGCCGCGGUAAUAC